ACCAAAAUUAUUUAAACUUUAGUAUAUUGGACAAUUUUGUUUACAUAACCGUGGCACUUGAAUGUAGGCACAAGAGUUUCCAACUAUAAAAAAAUGUUCAACGACUUUCCUUACUUACAGUGACUUGAUUGGUUGCGAAACUUGGGGGUGGCUACAUUACAAAUUUGUUUAUAUUUAAAACACUUUUAGCCGAUGGAGAAGCAAAAUGAAAGAGAAAUACUCAGGCUUGUUGUGUGUAGUCUUUUAUACUGCACCAUCUGAUGAACUUGUUUUCCAAUAGUCACUCUAUGGAUUACGCUGCACCAACAGAAGAUCAAAGAACGCCCUAACAUUUGUAUGCCAGCGAACGCAACUUAGUAAUGAAAGCACAGAAUAAAACACAGCCAAUGACACACAACACACAACAACCAGUUUAUAAUACGUUAAAGACAUUUUUGUUACCCUUUUAUUCACGAAACCAUCUCUGUUUUCACCAGCUACCCUCUUCUUCCAAACCCAUGAACCAAAAAGAAUCAGCAACAACACCAGUUCAAGAAAAUGGAGGGCAACGGAAAGUAAAUGGGGUGAAGGAGAAGAACAUCGAUAGGAUUUUCCAUCAGGAAAUGAGUAUGGACUGACAAAACUGAAUACUCGCGUGAGUGGAUUGGGUAUUUAUUGGCUACUGAGUCAAUAAAUAAUACUACUUUGGAAGACCAAGAGGAGUCACAAAUUAAAGCAUAUAUGUAUCAUGACGCAGCAACCUUCCAAUCAUGAAUUUUAUAAUGGUUAAAGCCAGGACGCCCCACCAAACCUUCGCAGAAACUUCCGUGUGGUAUUCUCUAAACAAUCACAAU
rnacentral:lncRNA from 1 species